GAUGAACGCAGCGGCAGGCCUAACACAUGCAAGUCAGGGGCAUCGCGGUGCAGCAAUGCACUGGCGGCGACCGGCGUACGGGUGCGUAACGCGUAUGCAACCUGCCCCGCACCGGGGGAGUAGCCCGCCGAAAGGCGGAUUAAUACCCCAUGGUCCCGGGGGCCCGCAUGGGCAUCCGGGUAAAGCCUUGGCGGUGCGGGAUGGGCAUGCGUGCCAUUAGCUGGCUGGUGGGGUAACGGCCCACCAGGGCAACGAUGGCUAGGGGGUCUGAGAGGAUGGUCCCCCACACUGGUACUGAGACACGGACCAGACUCCUACGGGAGGCAGCAGUGAGGAAUAUUGGUCAAUGGGCGGAAGCCUGAACCAGCCAUGCCGCGUGCGGGAUGAAGGCCCUACGGGUUGUAAACCGCUUUUCCCCGGGAAGAAUAACCCCGAUGAGUCGGGGGAUGCCGGUACCGGGGGAAUAAGGAUCGGCUAACUCCGUG
rnacentral:rRNA from 1 species